UACCAACAAUUGAGAUAACAUC
rnacentral:miRNA from 2 species